rnacentral:tRNA from 1 species
GCCCCCUUCGUCUAGUGGCCUAGGACGUCGGAUUUUUCGAUCCGGAAACAGGGGUUCGACUCCCUUAGGGGGUA